rnacentral:rRNA from 1 species
UCUUGGGUCAUUUAGAGGAAGUAAAAGUCGUAACAAGGUUUCCGUAGGUGAACCUGCGGAAGGAUCAUUACAUUCAGUAGCUUGCUACUGGUCGGGAGGCGCUGUAACUCCGCAUAGUAUUCAUUUACUGAUGAGCGGCUGGCCCUCUGUCUGUACCCUUGUCUUUUGCGCACUCAUGUUUCCUCGGCGGGCUUGCCCGCCGAUUGGACAAAACUAUAACCUUUUUAAUUUUCAAUCAGCGUCUGAAAAAACUUAAUAAUUACAACUUUCAACAACGGAUCUCUUGGUUCUGGCAUCGAUGAAGAACGCAGCGAAAUGCGAUAAGUAGUGUGAAUUGCAGAAUUCAGUGAAUCAUCGAAUCUUUGAACGCACAUUGCGCCCCUUGGUAUUCCAUGGGGCAUGCCUGUUCGAGCGUCAUUUGUACCCUCAAGCUCUGCUUGGUGUUGGGUGUUUGUCCUCUCCUCUGCGUUUGGACUCGCCUUAAAGCAAUUGGCAGCCAGUGUUUUGGUAUUGAAGCGCAGCACAUUUUGCGAUUCUAGCCGAUAAUACUUGCGUCCAUAAGCCUUUUUUAACUUUUGACCUCGGAUCAGGUAGGGAUACCCGCUGAACUUAAGCAUAUCAAUAAGCGGAGGA